GACGAACGCUGGCGGCGUGCUUAACACAUGCAAGUCGAACGGAAAGGCCCUGCUUUUGUGGGGUGCUCGAGUGGCGAACGGGUGAGUAACACGUGAGUAACCUGCCCUUGACUUUGGGAUAACUUCAGGAAACUGGGGCUAAUACCGGAUAGGAGCUCCUGCUGCAUGGUGGGGGUUGGAAAGUUUCGGCGGUUGGGGAUGGACUCGCGGCUUAUCAGCUUGUUGGUGGGGUAGUGGCUUACCAAGGCUUUGACGGGUAGCCGGCCUGAGAGGGUGACCGGCCACAUUGGGACUGAGAUACGGCCCAGACUCAUACGGGAGGCAGCAGUGGGGAAUAGUGCAAGAUGGGCGGAAGCCUGAUGCAGCAACGCCGCGUGCGGGAUGACGGCCUUCGGGGUGUAAACCGCUUUCGCCUGUGACGAAGCGUGAGUGACGGUAAUGGGUAAAGAAGCACCGGCUAACUACGUG
rnacentral:rRNA from 1 species